GACGAACGCUGGCGGCGUGCUUAACACAUGCAAGUCGAACGGAAAGGCCCUGCUUUUGUGGGGUGCUCGAGUGGCGAACGGGUGAGUAACACGUGAGUAACCUGCCCUUGACUUUGGGAUAACUUCAGGAAACUGGGGCUAAUACCGGAUAGGAGCUCCUGCUGCAUGGUGGGGGUUGGAAAGUUUCGGCGGAUGGGGAUGGACUCGCGGCUUAUCAGCUUGUUGGUGGGGUAGUGGCUUACCAAGGCUUUGACGGGUAGCCGGCCUGAGAGGGUGACCGGCCACAUUGGGACUGAGAUACGGCCCAGACUCCUACGGGAGGCAGCAGUGGGGAAUAUUGCACAAUGGGCGGAGGCCUGAUGCGGCAACGCCGCGUGCGGGAUGACGGCCUUCGGGUUGUAGACCGCUUUCGCCUGUGACGAAGCGUGAGUGACGGUAAUGGGUAAAGAAGCACCGGCUAACUACGUG
rnacentral:rRNA from 1 species